AGGGUAUUGCCCUAGUAACGGGCGAGUGAAGCGGCAACAGCUCAAAUUUGAAAUCUGGCUUCGGCCCGAGUUGUAAUUUGCAGAGGAUGUUUCUGGCGCGGUGCCUUCCGAGUUCCCUGGAACGGGACGCCACAGAGGGUGAGAGCCCCGUAUGGUCGGACACCAAGCCUGUGUGAAACUCCUUCAACGAGUCGAGUAGUUUGGGAAUGCUGCUCUAAAUGGGAGGUAAAUCUCUUCUAAAGCUAAAUACCGGCCAGAGACCGAUAGCGCACAAGUAGAGUGAUCGAAAGAUGAAAAGCACCUUGAAAAGGGGGUUAAAUAGUACGUGAAAUUGUUGAAAGGGAAGCACUUAUGACCAGACUUGGGCCGGGCGGCUCAUCAGGGGUUCUCCCCUGUGCACUCCGCCCGGCACAGGCCAGCAUCGGUUUUCGCGGGGGGAUAAGACCGACGGGAACGUAGCACCCUCCGGGGUGUGUUAUAGCCCGGCGGACGAUACCCUCGCGGGGACCGAGGUCCGCGCUCCGCAAGGAUGCUGGCGUAAUGGUCAUCAGUGACCCGUCUUGAAACACGGACCAAGGAGUCGUCCAUUAGAGCGAGCGUUUGGGUGUAAAACCCGCACGCGUAAUGAAAGUGAACGCAGGUGAGAGCUUCGGCGCAUCAUCGACCGAUCCUGAUGUUCUCGGAAGGAUUUGAGUAAGAGUUUUAACGGACGGACCCGAAAGACAGUGAACUAUGCUUGUAUAGGGUGAAGCCAGAGGAAACUCUGGUGGAGGCUCGCAGCGGUUCUGACGUGCAAAUCGAUCGUCAAAUAUGAGCAUGGGGGCGAAAGACUAAUCGAACUGUCUAGUAGCUGGUUACCGCCGAAGUUUCCCUCAGGAUAGCAGUGUUGAUCUUCAGUUUAU
rnacentral:rRNA from 1 species